GGCCUUGCUCUUAUGUCAUUUGACUAAAGGUUUCAUAGACCAAAGAUAACCAUCCAACUUGUUGGAAUACUGAAACAAUUGCUGCCUGCUGUCCACACACCACAUAAAAUAUGUGGAUUUCGUAAAUUCUGCAAAAAAGGUUUGGAAGCUGAUCAAUCAAUACUGGAACUCCCUCUUCUCCAGAAGAGACAUCCUGGCCUCCAUGCAGAGGAAUGUGUGGAUGGACAUAUAUUUAAGGAAGACACUAAACCAGAAACUACUACAUUACACCCUCUUAGAAGACUUCUAAGAUUGUUGUCAUGCCUACCACAGACAUUCAGAUGAUGUGUAUUGUUGAUUGUGAUUUCAUGUUUGGACCUGAUGAAGGAGUUUGAAGUCUCCAGAGCAGCAAAGAGAGUGGGGAGUAGAACUCAUCAUCUUUAGGUCACUCAUCAUCG
rnacentral:lncRNA from 1 species